rnacentral:rRNA from 1 species
UGCAGUCGAGGGGUAACAGGUUGGUGCUUGCACUAGUGCUGACGACCGGCGCACGGGUGCGUAACGCGUAUAGAACCUACCUUAUAUUGGGGGAUAGCCCAGAGAAAUUUGGAUUAAUACCCCGUGGUAUGCUUUAGUGGCAUCACUUUAAUAUUAAAGAUUUAUCGAUAUAAGAUGGCUAUGCGUCCUAUUAGCUAGUUGGUAUGGUAACGGCAUACCAGGGCUACGAUAGGUAGGGGUCCUGAGAGGGAGAUCCCCCACACUGGUACUGACACACGGACCACACUCCUACGGGAGGCAGCAGUGAGGAAUAUUGGACAAUGGAGGCAACUCUGAUCCACCCAUGCCGCGUGCAAGAAGACUGCCCUAUGGGUUGUAAACUGCUUUUAUAGAAGAAGAAACCCCGGUAUGUAUACCGGUCUGACGGUACUCUACAAAUAAAGAUCGGCUAACUCCGUGCCAGCACCCGCGGUAAUACAGAAGAUCCAAGCGUUAUCCGGAAUCAUUGGGUUUAAGGGGUCCGUACGCGGGCAAUUAAGUCAGAGGUGAAAGUUUGCGGCUCAACCGUAAAAUUGCCUUUGAUACUGGUUGUCUUGAAUUAUUGUGAAGUGGUUAGAAUAUGUAGUGUAGCGGUGAAAUGCAUAUAUAUUACAUAAAA